rnacentral:lncRNA from 1 species
UCAAUUAUUUUUAGCAAAUAAAACUAGACUAACUAAUGACUAAUAACUAAUAAAAUUAUUAAAUUUGAUAAAUUUUUUACUGAACUAACCAUGAAAACUCAAAUAAAAAAAAAAGUAGAAGUUUAGGAGCACUAAGGCCCUGUUUGGAUGGAUAGUUAAAAAACUCCAUGAAAUUUUUAUUCUGUGAUUUUGGUCUAAAUGAAAUACGAAAUUCUAUAACUACAAAAAAAUUCCACAGCUUUACUUUUAAGCUGUUUGGAUACAUAUCAUACAAUUCCACAGUAUUUAUAACAAUUAGAUUUCUAAAAUUUUAAAAUUCAAAAUUCAAAAUUUAAAAAUAAAAUUUUAAAAAUUAAAAUUCAAAAUUCAAAAUAUAAAAUUAAAAUUAAAAUUAAAAAUUAAAAAAUUAAAUUAGAUUUUAUGUUUUAAAUUUGAAAUUUGGAAUUUGGAAUUUGAAAUUUAAAAUUUGAAAUUUGAAACUUUAAAUUUUAAAAUUUAAAGUAUACCAUUUAAACUUUAAAAUUUGAAAUUUAAAAAAUGUUAUAAUUAAAAUUUUAAAUUAAAUUAAUAAUUUUAAAUUUAAAUUUAAACUUAAGUUUUAAAUUUAAAUUUGAAAAUGAAAAUUAAAAUUAAAAAUUAAUAAAUUUGGAAAUUUGAAAUUUUGAAUUUGAACUUUUUUAAAUGUUUGAAAUUUUGAAAUUUGGACUUUUUGAAAUUUGAGAAUUUGAAAUUUGAAAUUUGAAAUUUGGAAAUUUAAAAUGUUGAAAGUGAAUAUUGAAAGUUCGAAAUUGAAUGUGAAUUUAACAUUUGAAAUUUGAAUUUUUGAAAUGUGAAUUUAAAUUUCGAAAUUUAAAUUUAAAAUUACAAAUCAAAAUUUGAAUUUGAAGAAAUUGAACUUGAUUUGAAUAAUUUGAAAUGAUUUUGAAAUUUGAAUUUGAAUUAUUUGAAAGUUGAAUGUUGGACAGUUGGAAUGAUUUGAUAAUUUGAUUGAAAUUUGAAAUUGAAAUUUGCUUAAAAAAUUUGAAAUUUGAAUUCUGAAAAUUUGAAAUUUGAACUUUUUAAAAUUUAAAAUUUGAAAUUUAAAAUCAAAAUUAAAAUUUAAUUUUAAAAUUAAUUUAAAAUUUUAUGUUGAAAUUUAAAAUUUAAAAAUUGAUACAUCUUUGGGAGCCCAAAAUGGUGGAAUUUUUUUUUUCCUUUGGUUAAAGUGGAUUGUAAGUUUACUUCAUUUUUUAGAAUAUAGUAUAACUAUACUCCAAAAAUUAUUAUUAUUAUUUUUUUCUUCCAAACGCUUCAUAGGAUUAUUUUCCUACCGGCAUAGCGUAGUUUAACUAUGCUACGUUUUUAGAGGUAUCCAAACCGGGCCUAAAUAAAAAAAUAAAAGUUCAGGGUGUUUCCAUACAUUUUCAGAAAUAUAAAAAAGUCCAUAUUUUUUUAUUAUUUAUUUAAUUUUUAAUUAUUUAUAACAGGAUGUAUAUAUAUAUAUAUAUAUAUAUAUAGGUGUGCAUCUUUUGUGACUCUCCACUACUAUAAGCCUCAGCUAUUAUGAGUUGUCCCAGGACAUUAAUAAAAUGAUUAAAGCAAGUAUAUAAUGAGAAGAGAUUUGGGAUUUGCUUGAACCAGAAAUAUUAAUUUUAUAUAAGUUGCAUGAAUUUUUUUUAACCUUUUUCAACCUUGUCUUUCUUCUCCUGAAAAUUCAAUUUAAAUGUGUUUUUGAUAGGUUAAAUUGCAAAAAAUUGGACCCAAAUUUGAAUACUAUAUAUAUAUAUAUAUAUAGUCAUAGAGAGAGAGUAAAGCUCCUCUGCUUUAAAGUAUAGAAGCUCAACUUGCUAUUUUUUAACCGUUGGAUUGCCUCGAGAUUUGUUCAGCAUUAGUAAAAGAGGAUUUGAUGGAACACACCAUUAAUAAUACUGCAUGGAUCUUGCGGCGAUUCGACGGAUAAAAAAUUACAAAUACAAAUGCUUCUGUACUUUUAAAAGCAUAAGUGCUCAAUUUAUAAGUUCAGUAGGCUGUCUGAACUCAUAUCAUUUUUUAUAACCUUAGUAUUGGAUGUGUCCCACAUGAUUUAUUCAAGGCGAUCUAUAAAGAUACAAUCGGACUAUUUAAGUCGAUCCAUAAAAGUACGGUAGAUCGAAUGGUUAGGAUGUAUUUGGACACGUUCUUGAUGAACGGAUGUAAUUUAACAUUCUUACAUCAAGUUAUAUAUAAAUAUGUAAUAUACGGGAGUCCCGGUCUAACCCUAAUUUAAUUUUUUGUGACGGCUCCAUCUCCGGGGAUGAGGGAAUUAAACUCGAAACGUCCUGCUCACUUGCAAAUUACGAACGAGGACGAACCGCGAGCAAAAAUCGCCGCCUAUAAAUCAGGUAUAGAAAUCGAAAUCAUGACAGAAUGUACGAUCUUAAUUUCUAAUAAAGUUUCC